rnacentral:rRNA from 1 species
AUUGAACGCUGGCGGCAGGCUUAACACAUGCAAGUCGAGCGGGGUGAUGGUGCUUGCACUAUCACUUAGCGGCGGACGGGUGAGUAAUGCUUAGGAAUCUGCCUAUUAGUGGGGGACAACAUCUCGAAAGUGAUGCUAAUACCGCAUACGUCCUACGGGAGAAAGCAGGGGAUCACUUGUGACCUUGCGCUAAUAGAUGAGCCUAAGUCGGAUGAGCUAGUUGGUGGGGUAAAGGCCUACAAAGGCGACGAUCUGUAGCGGGUCUGAGAGGAUGAUCCGCCACACUGGGACUGAGACGCGGGCCAGACUACUACGGGAGGCAGCAGUGGGGAAUAUUGGACAAUGGGGGGAACCCUGAUCCAGCCAUGCCGUGUGUGUGAAGAAGGCCUUAUGGUUGUAAAGCACUUUAAGCGAGGAGGAGGCUCUUUUGGUUAAUACCCAAGAUGAGUGGACGUUACUCGCAGAAUAAGCACCGGCUAACUCUGUGCCAGCCGCCGCCGUAA